UAUUAAAAAUUUCAUUCAUUUGUACUAUUAAAAAGUUACCAUUACUAAUGGAAUAACCAGAUAGUAACAUUUGACGUGUCACGUGUACCUCAUUUGACGUGUCACGUGUACCUCAUUUGACAUACAUGGAUUAGUUUUUAAUACUAGAAAUGGAUGAAAUUUUUAACA
rnacentral:pre_miRNA from 1 species